rnacentral:rRNA from 1 species
UACGUAGGGGGCAAGCGUUAUCCGGAUUUACUGGGUGUAAAGGGGGCGCAGACGGCGAUGCAAGCCAGGAGUGAAAGCCCGGGGCCCAACCCCGGGACUGCUCUUGGAACUGCGUGGCUGGAGUGCAGGAGGGGCAGGCGGAAUUCCUGGCGUAGCGGUGAAAUGCGUAGAUAUCAGGAGGAACACCGGUGGCGAAGGCGGCCUGCUGGACUGCAACUGACGUUGAGGCCCGAAAGCGUGGGGAGCAAACAGG